rnacentral:tRNA from 3 species
GCGGAACUUGUUCCGCAGAUUGACAAAGGCAAGCUUGAGGUGCUUGUGUCAGUAUUGGCGUGUGGGUUCAAGUCCCAUUUCCCGCACCA